GAUUAACGCUAGCGGCAGGCAUAAUACAUGCCAGUUGAACGGCAGCACAGGUAGCAAUACUGGGUGGCGAGUGGCGCACGGGUGCGUAACACGUAUGCAACCUACCCUAUACAGGCGAAUAACCUUUAGAAAUGAGGGCUAAUACGCCGUAGUAUUACAGAUGGGCAUCUAUUUGUAAUUAAAGAUUUAUCGGUAUAGGAUGGGCAUGCGUCCCAUUAGUUAGUUGGUAAGGUAACGGCUUACCAAGACGAUGAUGGGUAGGGGAUCUGAGAGGACUUACCCCCACACUGGUACUGAGACACGGACCAGACUCCUACGGGAGGCAGCAGUAAGGAAUAUUGGGCAAUGGCCGCCAGGCUGACCCAGCCAUGCCGCGUGCAGGAAGACGGCCUUAUGGGUUGUAAACUGCUUUUAUACGGGAAUAAUAGAGUGUACGCGUACAUUUAUGCAAGUAUCGUAUGAAUAAGCAUCGGCUAACUCCGUG
rnacentral:rRNA from 1 species